AUGAACGCUGGCGGCGUGCCUCAUACAUGCAAGUCGAGCGCACAGACGAGGAGCUUGCUCCUCUGACGUUAUCGGCGGGCGGGUGGGUAACCCGUGGGUAACCUACCUAUAAGACUGGGAUAACUUCGGGAAACCGGGGCUAAUACCCGAUAAUAUAUUUAACCGCAUGGUUCAAUAGUGAAAAACCGUUUUUCUUUCACUUAUAGAUUGAUCCGCGCCGCAUUAGCUAGUUGGUAAGGUAACGGCUUACCAAGGCAACGAUGCGUAGCCGACCUGAGAGGGUGAUCGGCCACACUGGAACUGAGACACGGUCCAGACUCCUACGGGAGGCAGCAGUAGGGAAUCUUCCGCAAUGGGCGAAAGCCUGACGGAGCAACGCCGCGUGAGUGAUGAAGGUCUUCGGAUCGUAAAACUCUGUUAUUAGGGAAGAACAAAUGUGUAAGUAACUAUGCACGUCUUGACGGUACCUAAUCAGAAAGCCACGGCUAACUACGUG
rnacentral:rRNA from 1 species